rnacentral:rRNA from 1 species
GACGAACGCUGGCGGCGUGCCUAAUACAUGCAAGUCGAGCGAAGUUUUUCUGGUGCUUGCACUAGAAAAACUUAGCGGCGAACGGGGGAGUAACACGUAAAGAACCUGCCUCAUAGACUGGGACAACUAUUGGAAACGAUAGCUAAUACCGGAUAACAGUAUUUCUCGCAUGAGAGAUAUUUAAAAGUUGGUUAUGCUAACACUAUGAGAUUGCUUUGCGGUGCAUUAGCUAGGUGGUGGGGUAAAGGCCCACCAAGGCGACGAUGCAUAGCCGACCUGAGAGGGUGAUCAGCCACACUGGAACUGAGACACGGCCCAGACUCCUACGGGAGGCAGCAGUAGGGAAUCUUCCGCAAUGGGCGCAAGCCUGACGGAGCCACGCCGCGUGAGUGAAGAAGGACUUCGGUUCGUAAAGCUCUGUUGUUAGGGAAGAAUGGAUAUGUAGUAACUAUACAUGUAAGAGACGGUACCUAACCAGAAAGCAACGGCUAACUACGUG